rnacentral:lncRNA from 1 species
CUCUAACAGGGCGGGCAGGUUGAACAGUGCCAUUUCAGUCCCCGAAAAGCUUUCAAAUUUCCUUUGCAACCCUGCACCAAAAGUGCCGGUCAGUGCAGCCAGCCGGCAGACCUGAGACUGGUGAUACAGCAGUUUCACAGCGCUCUGCCAGAUUCAUCCCGCUCCAAACAUAUUCAUAGCAGUCUCAUGGAAGUCCCAGGACUGCUUUGGCAGCAAUUGUGCAGGAUAAAUAAAGCUCCCAUUGUUGCAGAUGACUGCUUUCAAUUGCACGGGAAUCCAGGACAGCAGGGACUUCUGGCUGAUAAAGGGAGGGUCGGGAGCAGGUCAGCCUCACAAAACGAAGCCCAUUUCUUCAAUGGCAUUUUUAAAGAUGAUAGCACCUCUUUAACUUCAUCUCUCGUUACGAUGACUAAUGUGGAGAGAAUGCCGGGAGGCUGCAGCAAGUCCGACAACCCUGUUGACCCUGAGGAGCACACAGUAAGGGAUCUCCUUUGCCUACUAAUCUAGACCUGGAGGAUGAAAUCCUUUGCUCAGGUGCAGCUUCCCAGAUUCCCCAGUGCUUUGUGUGGGCACAAGGGCCAAGAGGGACUGGAUUAGUUGACAGGAUAGAAACCUAAAUUUAGACGAGAUUCAGUUAAGUGGGUGUAGGAAAUGAAAGGAAUGAGUGGAAAAGGAAGGGCAAGAAUAAAAGCAAUAGGAACAGAUACAUAGCCUGUAUUCAUCAUGUCCCUGCUCAUGUUCUUUUUUCUUUGUUAUUUGUUUUAAGUAUCAGUAACCCUUGCCAGGGAUUUACCCAACUCUUCUGCAUGAGGAAUUUGCUGUCAGAACUGCAGUAGAUGGGAAUCACUUGUAGAGGGAUAUGGCUGUUGAGGAUGGGGUGUGCAGCACAGGAACAGAUUUAUUAAGAAAAUAAUAAAUUUAUGGAACAGCUGCAUAGGUAAGUGAUGGGGUAUCAGUGUUGGAGUAGAGGCUGAGUGAAAUGCCAGCAGCAAUGAUGUGGCCAGGUGGUUGUACAAAAGGUGGCCGUCCUUUCUGUCAAAGGACAGAGCUUUUGUGCCUUGUACUAGAGAAAGGUGAACUGCAGAAAGUUUUAGGAGGGAGUGACAAUGGGCCAGAAAUAUUCAGCAGA